CCCAAGGCCUCCGGGCGCGACUCUGUAGGCCCCACCCACUCUUAUCCCUAGAGUUUCAGCCACCAUCUGUCCUUCCCUAGCUGCCCCCUGCAGCAGCCUCCUCCCAUCCAGCCUCCUACGUUCAGCAGUGCUUUAUAUUUUUAAGCCGCUCUCAAGACAUCAGAACAAAUAUUGGGCUUUAGGGUGCUUUCUGCCUUGUUCACAGUGAACUGGUUGGUAACCUGGGCCUAUAGGAGGAGGGGUGGGUGAUCACAUACUGCCCCCCUCCCAGGGCCCAACAGGCAGGGGGACGCCAGACAUGGCCUUGGGAAAGCCGGCGAGGUUCUGGGGCUCAGGGAGAGGCUCUGUCCCUCCCCUCUCCGUUUGGCUGUCUUUGGUCAAAGUCAACAAAUUUAGGAAAAAGCUUUUCUGGCAUGUCUUGUGUCUUUGUAUCCACGGCUUUACACAAUUGCUUUCUCCCUCUGGGUCCCAUGCCUUAUUAUCUGCAAGUGGUUUUACUGAAACAGUUCUAACCCGCGCCAAUAUGACCUGGCUGUCCCUCCGUGCCCUUCAGGGUUAUACCCCAACAGCCAGCAGUACUUUCUGCUUUCCUUCCCUGGAAGGCCCUUGUGGGGGUGGUCCUUCCUCUACUGUGACACCCCACCCCCUGCCGGCAACAUUCUGUGCUCCUCUGCCAGAGGCAGCCUCCUGCUGUAAUUCCUCCAGGAUGGGAGCUGCAAACAGCUGCAACUGCUUAGAGCCAGAGUCCCACUUUGAAGAGAACAACGGGACCUGUGUUUUACUCAUGCCCCCCACUCAUUGGGGUGGUAAAACAAAGUCCGGAGGGUCCGUCAGUCUGUGGACAGCUGAGACGAAUAUUGUCUGACAUUGCAGCCCUGUUGUGGCCAGUAGUGAGGCUUCGUACCUAGGAAACCGGAGGCUGUGUUCACCGAGUUUCAGCAGCCGUGGUGGACAGGCUGCCAUUGAUUGGAAGCAGAGGACAAGCAUCCACUGACCUCAGCAAUUGGCAUCCAGUGCUGGGCACAGACCAAGGGUGCAUUUGCAGGCAGAAGAAUGGGUUGCCUGAUGAGUUGUGUCUGUGUGCACCAGGCAGGCAUUGCAGCCAGGGUCAAGGGAGGAAAUGAGGGUGGCUAAGCUGUGCACACUGGGGCUUGGCACCGGUGGCCUGGGUUGAGCUGUGCCAUCUUGUACUAGACACCAUUGUAGGUUCUCAAUGAAUAUGACAUAUCUGUCCAUUUUCAUUUUAAAGGGAUGGAAAGUGAGAUGCACGCAGUCAUGCACUUUCUAAGGUGCAGCAUCGUGUGUGUGUGUGUGUGUGUGUGUGUGUGUGUGUGUGUGUGUGUGGUGAUGGUGACUGUCUGUAAGGUAGGUCAUGGGGAUGUGUUAGCGAUGAGUAGACAGCAGUUUGAAUGUGUUUCACGGAACCUGUUGUUUGCAUUUUGUUAGCCUCUGUACUGGAAAGCAAUGCUGUGUUCAUCUUCCUUUCGUAACCUGUAGGUCCCAUGACAAAUUCCUUGAAAGCUGGAAGGUGCCUCUUCCUGCAAACUAGGGUCAAACUCUGUAUGUAGCUGAUGCUGGCUGACUGUAAACCCACGAUCCUCCAGCCCACUCUCUGGAUUGCUGGGAUUAUAGUUCUGAGCUGAUAUGUGUACUUCAUACUGUUACACUGAUCCCUGGGAUUUAACAGGGACUGGGGACUUUCGGAUUACCACAGGCCAGAUGGAGAAGACGUUCAAUGCCAGGUUGUAUCCGGGAGCAAGCAGAAAUGUGGGAGAAACUCUGGAGUAAAACAACAC
rnacentral:lncRNA from 1 species